rnacentral:rRNA from 1 species
GACGAACGCUGGCGGCGUGCUUAACACAUGCAAGUCGAACGGAAAGGCCCUGCUUUUGUGGGGUGCUCGAGUGGCGAACGGGUGAGUAACACGUGAGUAACCUGCCCUUGACUUUGGGAUAACUUCAGGAAACUGGGGCUAAUACCGGAUAGGAGCUCCUGCUGCAUGGUGGGGGUUGGAAAGUUUCGGCGCUUGGGGAUGGACUCGCGGCUUAUCAGCUUGUUGGUGGGGUAGUGGCUUACCAAGGCUUUGACGGGUAGCCGGCCUGAGAGGGUGACCGGCCACAUUGGGACUGAGAUACGGCCCAGACUCCUACGGGAGGCAGCAGUGGGGAAUAUUGCACAAUGGGCGGAAGCCUGAUGCAGCAACGCCGCGUGCGGGAUGACGGCCUUCGGGUUGUAAACCGCUUUCGCCUGUGACGAAGCGUGAGUGACGGUAAUGGGUAAAGAAGCACCGGCUAACUACGUGC